AGCAGGGUGGCUCACUGGAAAGAGCAUGGACUUAGGAGUCAGAUGUCAUGGGUUCUAAUCCCAGCUCUGCCA
rnacentral:tRNA from 1 species